ensembl:snRNA U6 U6 spliceosomal RNA
GUAUUGCCAGUGCAUAUACUAAAAUUGGAAUGAUAAGGGGAAGAUUAACAUGGCCUCUGGGCAAGGAUGACAUGCAAAUUUGUGAAUUGGUCCCUAUUUUU